UGCGUAGGCGGUUAUAUUAGUCGGGUGUUAAAUCCAGGGCUCAACCUCUGGCUCGCAUUCGAAACGGUAUAACUAGAAGAAGUGAGAGGUUUAGAGAACUCUCGGUGUAGGGGUGAAAUCCGUUGAUAUCGAGGGGAAUACCAAAUGCGAAGGCACUAAACUGGCACUUUCUUGACGCUGAGGCACGAAAGCGUGGGUAGCGAACG
rnacentral:rRNA from 1 species